CAGAAAGUAGUUUAUUAAAAAUAUUAAUUUUGGAGAUUAAAGAUGAAUUUAUUGAUUUCUUUCUGA
rnacentral:tRNA from 1 species